UUUGACCUCAAAUCAGGUAGGACUACCCGCUGAACUUAAGCAUAUCAAUAAGCGGAGGAAAAGAAACUAACAAGGAUUCCCCUAGUAACGGCGAGUGAAGAGGGAAAAGCUCAAAUUUAAAAUCUGACAGUCUAUGACUGUCCGAGUUGUAAUGUAGAGAAGUGUUUUCCGUGCUGGACCGUGUACAAGUCCUUUGGAACAAGGCGUCAUAGAGGGUGAGAAUCCCGUCUACGACACGGACUACCAGUGCUUUGUGAUACACUCUCAACGAGUCGAGUUGUUUGGGAAUGCAGCUCAAAAUGGGUGGUAAAUUCCAUCUAAAGCUAAAUACAGGCGAAAGACCGAUAGCGAACAAGUACCGUGAGGGAAAGAUGAAAAGCACUUUGGAAAGAGAGUUAAACAGUACGUGAAAUUGUUGAAAGGGAAACACUUGAAGUCAGUCGCGUCUUCAGAAAUUCAGCCUGGUGACAAGCCUGGUGUACUUUUCUGUUGGACGGGCCAGCAUCAGUUUCGGUCACUAGAUAAAGGUAAGAGGAAGGUGGCACCUGUGGGUGUGUUAUAGCCUCUUGUCGUAUGUGGUGACUGGGACUGAGGACCGCAGCACGCCUUGAUGGCCGGGGUUCGCCCACGUAACGUGCUUAGGAUGCUGGCGUAAUGGCUUUAAAUGACCCGUCUUGAAACACGGACCAAGGAGUCUAACAUGCCUGCGAGUAUUUGGGUGGCAAACCCAUAUGCGAAAUGAAAGUGAUCAGUUGGGACUUCUGUCAUGGAAGGCACCGACGCCCGGACCAGACCUAUUGUGAUGGAUCCGAGGUAGAGCAUGUAUGCUGGGACCCGAAAGAUGGUGAACUAUGCCUGAGUAGGGUGAAGCCAGAGGAAACUCUGGUGGAGGCUCGUAGCGAUUCUGACGUGCAAAUCGAUCGUCGAACUUGGGUAUAGGGGCGAAAGACUAAUCGAAC
rnacentral:rRNA from 1 species